AUCCAGUUGACGAGUCCCAAAUAGGACGAAGUAGCGGACGUCCUGGAU
rnacentral:hammerhead_ribozyme from 1 species